AAGAGGACUUCUCUGAAGAUCCCCAGGGUUCUCAUGACGACGCCAUGCAUGUUUUAGAAGAAAGCAUUUCAUUUCCGACCAUCAGCGUCCAAGAGGACCUUGAUGAGAAUGCCUUCAACAGCAUUCAAAACUCAAUCAUUGACUGGGAAGAAGACCCAACCUGGUGUCUGGACACUGAUGUGGCAAUGUCUGAGGAUGGAGAUGAGGACAACUACAAUGAUG